CAGUAGCCACGGUAAUACGAAGGGUGCAAGCGUUAAUCGGAAUUACUGGGCGUAAAGCGUGCGUAGGCGGUGAGUUAAGUCUGCUGUGAAAUCCCCGGGCUCAACCUGGGAAUGGCAAUGGAUACUGGCAAGCUAGAGUGUGUCAGAGGAUGGUGGAAUUCCCGGUGUAGCGGUGAAAUGCGUAGAGAUCGGGAGGAACAUCAGUGGCGAAGGCGGCCAUCUGGGACAACACUGACGCUGAGGCACGAAAGCGUGGGGAGCAAACAGGAUUAGAGACCCCGGUAGUCCCUGUCUCUUAUAC
rnacentral:rRNA from 1 species